UACAGAGGGUGCGAGCGUUAAUCGGAAUUACUGGGCGUAAAGCGUGCGUAGACGGUUAUUUAAGUCGGGUGUGAAAGCCCCGGGCUCAACCUGGGAAUUGCAUUCGAGACUGAAUAGCUAGGGUACGGUAGAGGGAAGUGGAAUUUCCGGUGUAGCGGCGAAAUGCGUAGAUAUCGGAAGGAACAUCAGUGGCGAAAGCGACUUCCUGGACCAGUACCGACGUUCAGGCACGAAAGCGUGGGGAGCAAACAGG
rnacentral:rRNA from 1 species